UGGGGAAUAUUGGACAAUGGGGGCAACCCUGAUCCAGCGAUGCCGCGUGGGUGAAGAAGGCCUUCGGGUUGUAAAGCCCUUUAGGUUGGGACGAAGUUUAUGUGGGGAUAAUCCAUGUAGAUUGACGGUACCGACAGAAUAAGCACCGGCAAACUCUGUGCCAGCAGCCGCGGUAAUACAGAGGGUGCGAGCGUUAAUCGGAAUUACUGGGCGUAAAGGGCGCGUAGGCGGUUACAAGAGUGUGAUGUGAAAGCCCCGGGCUUAACCUGGGAAGAGCAUCGCAAACGUUGUAACUGGAGUAUAUGAGAGGGUGGCGGAAUUUCCGGUGUAGCGGUGAAAUGCGUAGAGAUCGGAAGGAACGUCGAUGGCGAAGGCAGCCACCUGGCAUAAUACUGACGCUGAAGCGCGAAAGCGUGGGGAGCGAACAGGAUUAGAUACCCCCGUAGUCC
rnacentral:rRNA from 1 species